GUAGGGGGCAAGCGUUAUCCGGAUUUACUGGGUGUAAAGGGAGCGCAGACGGCGAUGCAAGUCUGGAGUGAAAGCCCGGGGCUCAACCCCGGGACUGCUUUGGAAACUGUAUGGCUAGAGUGCUGGAGAGGCAAGCGGAAUUCCUAGUGUAGCGGUGAAAUGCGUAGAUAUUAGGAAGAACACCAGUGGCGAAGGCGGCUUGCUGGACAGUAACUGACGUUCAGGCUCGAAAGCGUGGGGAGCAAACAGGAUUAGAUACCCUGGUAGUCCAUGCCGUAAACGAUGAUUACUAGGUGUUGGAGGAUUGACCCCUUCAGUGCCGCAGUUAACACAAUAAGUAAUCCACCUGGGGAGUACGACCGCAAGGUUGAAACUCAAA
rnacentral:rRNA from 1 species